UACGUAGGGUGCGAGCGUUGCCCGGAUUUAUUGGGCGUAAAGGGCGCGUAGGCGGCCUGGCAAGUGGAAGGUGAAAUCCCUCGGCUUAACCGAGGAACUGCCCUCCAAACUGCUUGGCUUGAGUCCGGGAGAGGUGAGUGGAAUUCCCAGUGUAGCGGUGAAAUGCGUAGAUAUUGGGAGGAACACCAGUGGCGAAGGCGGCUCACUGGACCGGAACUGACGCUGAGGCGCGAAAGCGUGGGGAGCAAACGGG
rnacentral:rRNA from 1 species